ensembl:lncRNA
CAACCACAGGGUCUCCCCAUCAUGAUGGAGUACAGAAGUCAGAUACCACGAUCCUCCCAGGCAGCGUCUCAGCAACAAUCACCCCUUCUCCUACCACCGAUGGUGUCAGUGAGGCCGCAGCCCCAGGGCUGCCAGCCCCUGGCACAGCUGGAGAUGGGCUGCACCAAGAGAUCACUGUCACCCAUCCACAUGUCACCAAUCUUCUCCACGUUGCCACUGUGUCAGCUCUGGGCACGCCAGCCACAGCCAUGGAUGUCACCCAUCUUCUCCACGUUGCCACUGUGUCAGCUCUGGGCACGCCAGCCACAGCCAUGGAUGUCACCACUGCACCGCAUGUAUCCACUGCGCCAUUUCCAGCCCUGGGCAGUGCUGAGACGGUGUCCAUCACUGCUGAAGCCACCUCGGGAUAUGAUGUCCUGCAG